UUUCCUGAAAACAUAAAGGAACAGUUAAUGUAACUAAAAAUUGUUAUUACUAGAGGUCAAAAAAAAAGAGUGGACAGGUAUAAUUUCUACGUAAACUUAUUGUCCUUUUUGAAUAUCUGAUGUUUUAAUGUUUCAGCCUGUUACCGACGAGUGACUUACAAGAGGUAAUAAGGAAAUAUUUAUUGAAAUAUUGAAUUAGAAGGUCAUUACUACUGCAGAAUAAGCUAAAAUGCUUUUUUAUACUAAAAGCUUUUAUAUUUGUAAUUUUUAGAAUUUCCAUAUGCUUAUUUACUAAAAAUAAACUGUGAAACACACAGGAAAAUCUGGACACGGAGCUUUUUGGUUUUCUUUAAAUAGUUUAGCUGAAAUUUUUAAGUAUGAAAUAACUAAAAUCUGACAUUUGUGAUUAAAAGGUAGGUAAUAAAAGGUUGUGUUUUGGGUAGUCUAGACUGAUGUUUUACUAAUUCAUCUCCUUACACUUGCAUUGCAUUUGAACAGCAAAAUUUGUAGCAGUUAACAGCUA
rnacentral:lncRNA from 1 species